rnacentral:lncRNA from 1 species
CUUUAUCCUUCUGUUCUGGUUGUCGGCUUGUUGUUUACUGUGUACCAGACCCCGGCUUGUCCUAGUUUACGCUGUCUCUCUGUGCCCUUGAUUUCGGAUUGUUCCUGACUCUGUCUCCUCUCAUAUACGUCGAGUCCGGCCAUUCUAAGGUCCGGUAGACGUAUCUCUCCUCUGUGUUGUCUUUUAUUUAGCUGAAUCCUGCGUGUUGGGGUAUAUUCUCGUUACAACUAUGAAGCUAGCAUGAUCCAUCAGUUACAAAUUAUAAUGAAAAAAAGAAGCAAUAAAUACAGGUUGGUACAAACUUGAGACUAUAUCAUUGACUAAGCAGCAAUUAAAUAAAUUGUUAUGGCAUGAAAAAGGAAAUUUAAUCCUAAAUGAAAUACAAAAUAAAAUAAUUUGCCAAAUUCUUCCGACUUGGUUUAAACUGAGGAAGCAAAUGAAUCACAGGGGUAAGAUAUACGACUUUAUGGCCAUUGAGAUCUUAGAAUCCCUUAUAGAAAAUAUAAAUCUAGAUCAAUGGAAAGAAAAGAAUAUUGGAGAGGUUGGAAGCAUUAUGGUAGGAGAUUCAGUUAAAUUAUUCCCCAUUGUAAGGCUAGAACAUGAGCUACCUGUUUCAGAAACAUUCAAUUAUAUAAGGGUGAAAUCUAAGAAUUAUGUGGAGGGGAAGAACAGAGGGUCUUUUUGUAUCAAACAAAUAUUUGCUCAUAAACUCUAGAAAAUUAUCAAAAUGCUAAAUGUUGUCUCGAUUAAUUCCAUAUAAUAUCAAUAUAAAUGCUUUGAAUAGAGUGUAAUCUGUCCAUAGAAGUCGAUGCUUGGGGGAAGCUCUACAAAAACUAAAGGAAAAUGUUCAUAAUAUGGUUUUGGUUGAAACUUUUUAUAAAGUUACCAACAGAUGGUAUUUAGUACCAACUAGACUAAAUAAAAUAGAUCCUAAUAUCUCAAAUAUAUGCUGGAGAUGUUCGAGUGCAGUUGGGAGUUAUUUACAUAUCUGGUGGAACUGUCCAAAAAUAAACCAAAUCUGGGAUCAAGUUUAUCGGACCUUGGUUGAAUUAGAAGGGAUUAAGAUUGAUAAAGACCCAGUUACUGCAAUUCUUCACUUGGGUUGGCCUGAGUUAACUGCUAUACAUUUUUAUUUAGUUACUCGUGGUUUCUUAGCCUUGAAGAUUAUUAUAGCAAGAGAAUGGAAACAAUGAAAAGAAAUAGAAUUUUAUCUCUGGGUAAAUCAACUAAUAUUCCAACUUAAAAUGGAACUGAGGGUAUGCUGAAGAAACAAGUCUUCGGUUAAGAAAAUAAAAGAAAACUGCCUUUCUAGAGUUUUGUCCCUUCUAGGAUAAUGGAGUGAUCAGUGCAUUUUGGUAUAAUGAGUUAUAUCGUAUGAGAUUAUUUACUCUUUCUUUUCUCUCUGCUUGGGCCCUACUUCACAGUCUUGUAUUUGUUAGGAUGGUUUAUAUUAUGGAUGGUUGUAUGCAAUGUCCAUGUAAUGUAUUGCCUGUUAUUGUACUGAAAAACAAAUAAAGACUAUUUAAAAAAAAAAAGAAAACCUUGUGGUUCCGGGUUGGUCCUCCAGUGGCACAUAGCCGCGAUUCUAUGCAACUGUCUCAGGCAUGGGACCAUGCCUGCACUUGGGCAAAAAUAUGACUUCCAUAAAAUUUUUGAACCCCUUACCUGAUCUGGGUUAUUUUUGGAUAUGUUGUUCACCCAGAUCAGACCUUUCAGGGAAUGUAACAUUUAUGUUGUGUUUUGGGGUACUUAAUAAAAAUGUGUUUUUUCUACCUGGGGAUAAUUAAGUUAAUGCAUUAUCUUCCUUAAUUAUAUCACAGACAGAGGGGAGGGUUUGUGUACUGUAUGUGGGAGUGUCAUUCAUUGUCACAUUAUUUUUAUUGGCUUGUACACUUUGUGUCCCUGUGCCCAACAAGGUCCAACUGGGUGCCACCUUUGUUGGGAAACUUGCAUAAAAGGCCAGCUUUGACUUCCAUUAAACAGACUUGUUCUACCCUUCAUGAAGUCUUGGCUCAUGUUUGGGGGAUUGGAGAACUACACUCUGGGGAUUGCUAUAAUUACUAUUCUCCCCUGAGUAUAAUCACUAAGCUCUUGUAAGAGCUGUUCCUUUCACGCUCUCUGGACUAGGAGAGGCCUACCCACUAGAAGCUGGAUCCUGGUUUUGGGUCCAGGGUGGGUGGAGGAUGGCGAGACCCUAACCAGGCUGCGGCAGUUUGUGGGGUUUACGGUGGUUAUAGUGUUCCAGUGCAGUGCUGAUGGCACUAGGAAGCAACGAUUGACGGAGGUACCCGGUCGGGGUGCCAAGCGGUGACAAAAUAUUUACCUAGACAAGCCACAAGGUGGCAAUAACAGCUUAAAUAACUUGUAAAUUCCAUUUACGAAAAGCUGAAACUCAGCUGAAUGAGGGGAAAUGACAGUGAAAGCCCUUACCCCUAAUUGUAAGACGGCUUUGAAAAAGCCAAACCGAAAGUGCCAAACAAGUGAGCAGUGUUGCAAGCACGUUUGGGGGUAGCUAAACCUGCCAAACAAAUCUUUUGGCAAAACGAAAGCCAACAUGUUGCGAGUUUAAAUGUGUAGACUAACCACGCAGAGAACCCAG